GUGGAAAAAACCCCUGUUGUAGCCCCCUUGUUGAGGGGGGCAUAUAUAAGUGGGCCUCAACAACCACUUAGUCAACACGGGUCAAAAAAUUUACUAACAGGUUGGGGCGGGCUUUUUUAGAGUUCGCUUCAAUAGAACUUGUUGGAGGGGGCUUUAUAUUGCCCGCCUCAAUAGAUACUAGUCUAAAGGGGCGGGCUUUGUUUUGUUCGCUUCAACCAAUAUUCACGAAAUUUAAAACAAUAAAAACAUAGCUUCUCAUCGCCAAACCGAUAAAACAAUCCCUUCAAAUCUCUAUAUUCAAACAAAGCAAGUACGCUUCUAGUGCAAUCUGCAGGCGAGUUCGCACCGCUCCUCACCGCGCGCCUCCACCACCACCACCACCUUCCUCGCCUCCUCUUCCAUAGUAGUCGCCCCCGACCGUCGUCUUCCCUAUCUCGGUUGACUCUGUUUCACACAGUGACGCAAUCUGUCAAGGUUACAGUUGUAUCAUAGUGUCUGGUGGAGUACAAGAGACGUUCCAUAUGGAGCAUGGCUCUGAGCUUGUUUUGAGUACUGGAAGCGGUGUUAAUGGUUUCACUCUAGAUCCAUCUCUUGGAGUGUAUAUUUUAACUCAUCCAGACAUCAAGGGAUCGAGUCGAUUGGAAGAAAGUCAACACGGCCUUAAUUAAGGUUUGUAAUGCAUGAUCUAAAGGGAGCUAAGUGGCCAGAUUAGAGAAAUUUGUUAGACUAGCUCUCUAGCCUUUUGUCUUUAUUUGUUAAUAUUAGUUUUAAUUUGUUAGACUAGCUAGCUAGGUGUUUAAAAAUUGUAAACGUACGUACUAUACGCUUUUCUCUAUUGGGUUAAUAUAAAUGAAGUUAAUUUAAUGAUUUAUUAAUAAAAAAUAA